rnacentral:lncRNA from 1 species
UCCGUUGACGUUUAGUUGUAUCUUCCCCAGUAGGGUUACCUCUCCGUUGGUUUCGAUAAACGCUGAGUUUUUCCAAUGCGUCCGUGGACGUUUAGUUGUAUUUCCCCACAGCUUCUCCUUCUCCGUUGGUGUCGAUAAACGUCGAGCUUCUCCUUCUCCGUUGGUGUCGAUAAACGUCGAGCUUCUCCUUCUCCGUUGGUGUCGAUAAACGUCGAGCUUCUCCUUCUCUGUUGGUGUCGAUAAANN